AGAGUUUGAUCCUGGCUCAGGACGAACGCUGGCGGCGUGUUUAACACAUGCAAGUCGAACGGAGAGUACCAAGUAGCAAUACGCGGUAUUCUUAGUGGCGGACGGGUGAGUAACGCGUGAGCAAUUUGCCUUAGGGUGGGGGAUAACAGCGGGAAACCGUUGCUAAUACCGCAUAUGACUACGGCCGGGCAUCCGGUUGUGGUGAAAGGAGCAAUCCGCCCUUAGAUGAGCUCGCGUCCCAUUAGGUAGUUGGCGGGGUAACGGCCCACCAAGCCUGCGAUGGGUAGCCGGACUGAGAGGUUGGCCGGCCACACUGGAACUGAGACACGGUCCAGACUCCUACGGGAGGCAGCAGUGAAGAAUAUUGGGCAAUGGGGGAAACCCUGACCCAGCAACGCCGCGUGAGGGAAGAAGGUUCUCGGAUUGUAAACCUCUGUCCCAUGGGGAGAAAAAAAUGACGGUACCAUGGGAGGAAGCCCCGGCUAACUACGUGCCAGCAGCCGCGGUAAUACGUAGGGGGCAAGCGUUGUCCGGAAUUAUUGGGCGUAAAGGGUGCGUAGGCGGCCCAUCAAGUUGGAUGUGAAAUCCCCGUGCUUAACAUGGGAAUUGCAUUCAAAACUGAAGGGCUUGAGUGUGGAAGAGGUAAGUGGAAUUCCCAGUGUAGCGGUGAAAUGCGUAGAUAUUGGGAGGAACACCAGUGGCGAAGGCGACUUACUGGGCCACAACUGACGCUGAGGCACGAAAGCGUGGGGAGCAAACAGGAUUAGAUACCCUGGUAGUCCACGCUGUAAACGAUGAUU
rnacentral:rRNA from 1 species